rnacentral:rRNA from 1 species
GAUACCCUGGUAGUCCACACUGUAAACGAUGGAUACUAGGUGUAGGGUGUAUUAAGCACUCUGUGCCGCCGCAAACGCAUUAAGUAUCCCACCUGGGGAGUACGACCGCAAGGUUGAAACUCAAAGGAAUUGACGGGGGCCCGCACAAGCAGUGGAGUAUGUGGUUUAAUUCGAAGCAACGCGAAGAACCUUACCAGGGCUUGACAUAUACAGGAAUAUACAAGAGAUUGUAUAGCUCUUCGGAGCCUGUAUACAGGUGGUGCAUGGUUGUCGUCAGCUCGUGUCGUGAGAUGUUGGGUUAAGCCCCGCAACGAGCGCAACCCCUGCUUUUAGUUGCCAGCACGUAAUGGUGGGAACUCUAGAAGGACUGCCGGUGAUAAAUCGGAGGAAGGUGGGGACGACGUCAAAUCAUCAUGCCCUUUAUGUCCUGGGCUACACACGCACUACAAUGGCCGCAACAGAGGGAAGCAAAAUAGUGAUAUGGAGCAAAACCCUAAAAACGGUCUCAGUUCGGAUUGAAGGCUGAAAUUCGCCUUCAUGAAGCUGGAAUUGCUAGUAAUGGCAGGUCAGCAUACUGCCGUGAAUACGUUCCCGGGCCUUGUACACACCGCCCGUCACACCAUGAGAGUUGGGAAUACCCGAAGCCUGUGAGCUAACAUUUAUGAGGCAGCAGUCGAAGGUAGAAUCAAUGAUUGGGGUGAAGUCGUAACAAGGUAAC